UUAAAGUUGUUGCAGUUAAAAAGCUUGUAGUUGAACCUUGGGCCUGGUUGGCCGGUCCGCCUCACCGCGUGCACUGGUCCGACCGGGUCUUUCCUUCUGGGGAACCGCAUGCCCUUCACUGGGUGUGUCGGGGAGCCAGGACUUUUACUUUGAAAAAAUUAGAGUGUUCAAAGCAGGCCUAUGCUCGAAUACAUUAGCAUGGAAUAAUA
rnacentral:rRNA from 1 species